rnacentral:tRNA from 1 species
GCCCAGGUAGCUCAGUCGGUAGAGCAAAGGAUUGAAAAUCCUUGUGUCGACGGUUCGAUUCCGCCCCUGGGCACCA